rnacentral:rRNA from 1 species
AUUGAACGCUGGCGGCAUGCCUUACACAUGCAAGUCGAACGGCAGCGGGGACUUCGGUCCGCCGGCGAGUGGCGAACGGGUGAGUAAUGUAUCGGAACGUGCCAUUCAGUGGGGGAUGACUAUCCGAAAGGAUAGCUAAUACCGCAUAUUCUGUGAGCAGGAAAGCAGGGGAUCGCAAGACCUUGCGCUGAUUGAGCGGCCGAUAUCAGAUUAGCUAGUUGGUGAGGUAACGGCUCACCAAGGCUACGAUCUGUAGCGGGUCUGAGAGGAUGAUCCGCCACACUGGGACUGAGACACGGCCCAGACUCCUACGGGAGGCAGCAGUGGGGAAUUUUGGACAAUGGGCGCAAGCCUGAUCCAGCCAUGCCGCGUGAGUGAAGAAGGCCUUCGGGUUGUAAAGCUCUUUCGGCCGGGAAGAAAUCGCAUCAGCUAAUACCUGGUGUGGAUGACGGUACCGGAAUAAGAAGCACCGGCUAACUACGUGCCAGCAGCCGCGGUAAUAC